rnacentral:rRNA from 1 species
UACGUAGGGUGCAAGCGUUGUCCGGAUUCAUUGGGCGUAAAGAGCUCGUAGGCGGCUUUGUAAGUCGGGUGUGAAAACCCCAGGCUCAACCUGGGGACGCCACUCGAUACUGCAAUAGCUAGAGUCUGGUAGGGGAUCACGGAAUUCCUGGUGUAGCGGUGAAAUGCGCAGAUAUCAGGAGGAACACCGGUGGCGAAGGCGGUGAUCUGGGCCAGUACUGACGCUGAGGAGCGAAAGCGUUGGGAGCAAACAGG